rnacentral:sRNA from 1 species
AUAUAGUGGUAUCUUCGGUGGUGUCGUAGGAUUUACCAAGGAGCACUUUCAAAAGAUCAACGGGGCGUCCAAUGCUUUCUUUGGCUGGGGCGCUGAAGAUGAUGAUCUGCGCAAUAGGGCACACUUCAAGAAACUACCUCUAUUGCGUAAACGAGAGGACGUCGGUGUAUACUAUAUGGUCAAACAUAAGUACGAAGAAGGUUGGGAAAAAAAUCCGGACAGGCUCAAAAUUUAUGCGGCAGGGAAAAACAGACAAAACAUCGAUGGGCUGAACUCUGUCAAGUAUAAAGUUGUGAAUACAAUGGAGUACCCAAUGUUCACAUGGAUAGGGAUCGAGUUUAACAAGGAGGAACUUUUAAAAGUAAGUCUAGACGUUUAU